UACAGAGGUCCCAAGCGUUGUUCGGAUUCACUGGGCGUAAAGGGUGCGUAGGUGGUGGUGAAAGUCUGAUUUGAAAUCUCCGAGCUCAACUCGGAAAUGGCAUUGGAAACUACUUUGCUGGAGGAUUUGAGGGGGUAUUGGAAUACUUGGUGUAGCAGUGAAAUGCGUAGAUAUCAAGUGGAACACCAGUGGCGAAGGCGAAUCCCUGGAAAAUACCUGACACUGAGGCACGAAAGCUAGGGGAGCAAACAGG
rnacentral:rRNA from 1 species